GGCCUUAAAAGCUAACAGGAUAGCGAUUAA
rnacentral:tRNA from 1 species